UAUGAGCUGUUUUAGCGGCGGACGGGUGAGUAACGCGUGAGCAACCUUUCCCAGACAGGGGAAUAACACACCGAAAGGUGUACUAAUACCGCAUAAGACCACGGGAUCACAUGGUUCUGGGGUAAAAGAUUUAUCGGUUUGGGGUGGGCUCGCGUCCGAUUAGGUAGUUGGUGAGGUAACGGCCCACCAAGCCGACGAUCGGUAGCCGACCUGAGAGGGUGAUCGGCCACAUUGGGACUGAGACACGGCCCAAACUCCUACGGGAGGCAGCAGUGGGGAAUAUUGGGCAAUGGGGGGAACCCUGACCCAGCAACGCCGCGUGGAGGAAGAAGGUUUUCGGAUCGUAAACUCCUGUCCUUGGAGACGAGUAGAAGACGGUAUCCAAGGAGGAAGCCCCGGCUAACUACGUGCCAGCAGCCGCGGUAAUACGUAGGGGGCAAGCGUUGUCCGGAAUAAUUGGGCGUAAAGGGCGCGUAGGCGGCUCGGUAAGUCUGGAGUGAAAGUCCUGCUUUUAAGGUGGGAAUUGCUUUGGAUACUGUCGGGCUUGAGUGCAGGAGAGGUUAGUGGAAUUCCCAGUGUAGCGGUGAAAUGCGUAGAGAUUGGGAGGAACACCAGUGGCGAAGGCGACUAACUGGACUGUAACUGACGCUGAGGCGCG
rnacentral:rRNA from 1 species